GUGGAUUAGAUACCCGGGUAGUCCUGGCAGUAAACGGUGCACGUUUGGUAUGGGCGCAAUCGACCGCGCCCGUGCCGGAGCUAACGCGUUAAACGUGCCGCCUGGGAAGUACGGUCGCAAGAUUAAAACUCAAAGAAAUUGACGGGGACCCGCACAAGCGGUGGAGUAUGUGGCUUAAUUCGAUGCAACGCGAAGAACCUUACCUGGUCUUGACAUGCAUUGUGUCUCCGCUGAAAGGCGGAUAGCGUAGCAAUACGCGCUUUGCACAGGUGCUGCACGGCCGUCGACAGCU
rnacentral:rRNA from 1 species